GGUGGUGCAUGGCUGUCGUCAGCUCGUGUCGUGAGAUGUUGGGUUAAGUCCCGCAACGAGCGCAACCCUUGUCCUAUGUUGCCAGCGGGUAAUGCCGGGGACUCGUAGGAGACUGCCGGGGUCAACUCGGAGGAAGGUGGGGAUGACGUCAAGUCAUCAUGCCCCUUAUGUCCAGGGCUUCACACAUGCUACAAUGGCCAGUACAGAGGGCUGCGAAGCCGUAAGGUGGAGCGAAUCCCUUAAAGCUGGUCUCAGUUCGGAUUGGGGUCUGCAACUCGACCCCAUGAAGUCGGAGUCGCUAGUAAUCGCAGAUCAGCAACGCUGCGGUGAAUACGUUCCCGGGUCUUGUACACACC
rnacentral:rRNA from 1 species